rnacentral:piRNA from 1 species
UGAGUUCUGGUGAGACGGAGACCCCGGU